CUUCGGUAUUAUAUGUGAUUGUUUGACUGUGUACUUGUGAGCAUCUGGUGUUGUCUGUGAAUACCUGACUUGACUGUAUUCUGUUUGUUGGUUGUUGUAUGUGAAUACCUGUUUUGGUUGUAUUCUGUUUGUUGAAAAAGUUAUUCAUUUAAGCCGGUUCAUUGACCAUGGCUUCUAACACAAGUACUGGUGCCUCCCCUUCUCUAGACUCUUCCA
rnacentral:lncRNA from 1 species